UACGAAGGGGGCUAGCGUUGCUCGGAAUCACUGGGCGUAAAGGGUGCGUAGGCGGGUCUUUAAGUCAGGGGUGAAAUCCUGGAGCUCAACUCCAGAACUGCCUUUUGAUACUGAAGAUCUUGAGUUCGGGAGAGGUGAGUGGAACUGCGAGUGUAGAGGUGAAAUUCGUAGAUAUUCGCAAGAACACCAGUGGCGAAGGCGCUCACUGGCCCGAUACUGACGCUGAGGCAGAAAG
rnacentral:rRNA from 1 species